GACUGCGACGGGAAACGCUGCUGCCUGGCAACGCGCUAGACCCGACCUGUUUCUGAAAACGCCGCCUGGCGAAACAGCGAGUUCUGAUUCUUGACGAUUCCCGCCUGUCCGCACAGCACCCAGCAAGAGAAUUUUUAAAUGUGUCAAGUUUGUCUCUGGAACUCCUGGCCUCCUGUUUUUCCACUCUUUCCACCUUUUUCCCUGCAGAGGUGGUAUGAACCAUUAUAGGCACCGCUGGAAAGUUAAAAACAUGGUGGAAACAACCAGGUGCAUCUCUCACUGACAGACGAGCCAGGGUGGGGAGAAAGAGGGGAUUCCUGCGAGGGAUGGAUAUACCUGUGUGUCUCCAUUGCUGAUCUUGUCUCAAGAGUCAGAUCCAAGAGGUGUGUAAAGAUCCAUAGAUCCCAUGGGACUUCCCUGGUGGUGCAGUGGUUAAGAAUCCACCUGCCGAUGCCGAGGACAUGAGUUCAAUCGCUGGUCU